AGAUUGAACGCUGGCGGCAGGCCUAACACAUGCAAGUCGAGCGGCAGCACGGGUACUUGUACCUGGUGGCGAGCGGCGGACGGGUGAGUAAUGCCUAGGAAUCUGCCUGGUAGUGGGGGAUAACGCUCGGAAACGGACGCUAAUACCGCAUACGUCCUACGGGAGAAAGCAGGGGACCUUCGGGCCUUGGUGCUAUCAGAUGACGCCGUAGGGUCGUAUUAGCUUAGGUUGGUGAAGGUAAG
rnacentral:rRNA from 1 species